rnacentral:rRNA from 1 species
AUUGAACGCUGGCGGCAGGCCUAACACAUGCAAGUCGAGCGGAUGAAGGGAGCUUGCUCCUGGAUUCAGCGGCGGACGGGUGAGUAAUGCCUAGGAAUCUGCCUGGUAGUGGGGGAUAACGUCCGGAAACGGGCGCUAAUACCGCAUACGUCCUGAGGGAGAAAGUGGGGGAUCUUCGGACCUCACGCUAUCAGAUGGGCCUAGGUCGGAUUAGCUAGUUGGUGGGGUAAAGGCCUACCAAGGCGACGAUCCGUAACUGGUCUGAGAGGAUGAUCAGUCACACUGAAACUGAGACACGGUCCGACCCCCUAGGGGGGGCAGCAGGGGGAAAUUUUGGAAAAGGGGCGAAAGCCUAACCCGGCCAUGCGGGGUGGGUGAAAAAGGUCUUCGGUUUGAAAAACACUUUAAGUUGGGAGAAAGGGCAGUAAGUUAAUACCUGGCUUUUUUGACGUUACCAACAAAAAAAGCACCGGCUAACUUCGU